rfam:Desulfosporosinus sp. Tol-M Desulfosporosinus_sp._Tol-M_contig_15, whole genome shotgun sequence.
GAAAUUGAAUAAAGUCCGCUGUAGAAAGCAGGCGCCGUAAGGCUUAAUGUCCUGCCGAGGUUGGGAGACACACCGAUGGAUAGUAAUUUGGCAUUCUUAACCUCUGCAAACGCGGGGGUUUUCUGUUGAGUUU